rnacentral:lncRNA from 1 species
CUGCUCUGGGCAGGUUUUCUCUGGGGCUCACUGGCUGGGUGCGCAGCGGCCAGCACUUGGUUUGGGGCCCCUCUGGGCUCCAGCCCUAGAGCUAUAAGAUGUAAUUGUUACUUUGUUUUGUAUUUUUCAGUUCAAAGUGUCUGAACUGAUCCAGGGCUGUGCUGUAGCUUGCCUGAGCAGAGUCUGUGUGGAAUGAUAGCACAGCUCAAACAGCUCGUCCUUGAGCCAGCACCACCCUGGGCUGUAUCAACGGGAGCGCAGCCAGUAGCUCAAGGGAAGGGAUUAUCGCCUUCACUCAGCACUUGUUAGACAAUAUCUAGACCUCAUUGUGCCCAGUUUGGGACCCCCAGUACAAGCGAGACAUCGAC